UGACUGAGAGUUCAGACCUGUGCUCUUUCGAGUGUCUUUGGCUGUCCUUUUUAUAUUGCAAAGUGAGAACUUUCCCUACUGUGUUUGAUAAAUGUUGUCCAGGUUCCAUUGCCAAGAAUGUGUUGUCUAAAAUGCCUGUUUAGUUUUCAAGGAUGGAACUCCACCCUUUACUUGGUUUUAAGUAUGUAUGGAAUGUUAUGAUAGGACAUAGUAAUAGUGGUGGUCAGAUGUGGAAA